CCUACGGGAGGCUGCAGUGGGGAAUAUUGGACAAUGGGGGCAACCCUGAUCCAGCCAUGCCGCGUGUGUGAAGAAGGCCCUCGGGGUGUAAAGCACUUUCAGUGAGGAAGAACGCCUGGUGGUUAAUACCCAUCAGGAAAGACAUCACUCACAGAAGAAGCACCGGCUAACUCCGUGCCAGCAGCCGCGGUAAUACGGAGGGUGCGAGCGUUAAUCGGAAUUACUGGGCGUAAAGCGCGCGUAGGUGGCUUGAUAAGCCGGUUGUGAAAGCCCCGGGCUCAACCUGGGAACGGCAUCCGGAACUGUCAAGCUAGAGUGCAGGAGAGGAAGGUAGAAUUCCCGGUGUAGCGGUGAAAUGCGUAGAGAUCGGGAGGAAUACCAGUGGCGAAGGCGGCCUUCUGGACUGACACUGACACUGAGGUGCGAAAGCGUGGGUAGCAAACAGGAUUAGAUACCCGAGUAGUC
rnacentral:rRNA from 1 species